CAGUAGCCGCGGGAAUACGGAGGGUGCAAGCGUUAAUCGGAAUUACUGGGCGUAAAGCGCACGCAGGCGGUCUGUCAAGUCAGAUGUGAAAUCCCCGGGCUUAACCUGGGAACUGCAUUUGAAACUGGCAGGCUAGAGUCUUGUAGAGGGGGGUAGAAUUCCAGGUGUAGCGGUGAAAUGCGUAGAGAUCUGGAGGAAUACCGGUGGCGAAAGCGGCCCCCUGGACAAAGACUGACGCUCAGGUGCGAAAGCGUGGGGAGCAAACAGGAUUAGAUACCCGCGUAGUCCCUGUCUCUUAUAC
rnacentral:rRNA from 1 species